GUGCUUGAUUUGGCAACACAUAUACUAAAAUGAGAAGAAUACAGAGAAGAUUAGCAUGGCCCCUGGGCAAGCAUGACAUACAUUUUUUUAAAGUAUUUUAUAUGUAC